rnacentral:rRNA from 1 species
GAUGAACGCUGGCGGCGUGCCUAAUACAUGCAAGUCGAGCGAACAGAUAAGGAGCUUGCUCCUUUGACGUUAGCGGCGGACGGGUGAGUAACACGUGGAUAACCUACCUAUAUUACUGGGAUAACUUCGGGAAACCGGAGAUAAUACCGGAUAACAUAUUCAACCGGAUGGUUCAAUAGAUAAAGGCGGCUUUGCUGUCACUUUUAGAUGGAUUCGCGCCGUAUUAGCUAGUUGGUAAGGUAACGGCUUACCAAGGCAACGAUACGUAGCCGACCUGAGAGGAUGAUCGGCCACACUGGAACUGAGACACGGUCCAGACUCCUACGGGAGGCAGCAGUAGGGAAUCUUCCGCAAUGGGCGAAAGCCUGACGGAGCAACGCCGCGUGAGUGAUGAAGGUCUUCGGAUCGUAAAACCCUGUUAUCAGGGAAGAACAAAUGUGUAAGUAACUGUGGACAUCUUGACGGUACCUAAUCAGAAAGCCACGGCUAACUACGUG